GCCGAAUAUAGCAAAGAAAGAAGUCAUCCAUGCUUGUUAAGGUUUCGGCACCAAACCAGCUUGAUUAAAGAUCAAGAAUUAAAGAAAUCGAAUUUGGAUUGGGGAAAGACAAAAGUGGUUGAGUAGCCGAUUUAGCAGUCGACAACAUCUGAGAUUUUGGAGGUUGGUUACGAGCUCGGGGACCGUCAACAAAGUCUAUCACACUAUCGACAUCUUUUGGGUACUUUGAUAAAUUUUUAAACUCGAUAUUAUGGCAUGUAUAGACUUGCUUAUGUUUUUGGUUAGUUUUGGAAUAUGUAUAUAAAUGGCCAUGUGAAAAUGGCUCAUCUUAUUUUGAUCGAGUUUGGUGUUUAUGCAUAUGGUUUUAAUGGUCAUGAAAAUGAUGUUUAUAAUUUUGCGUAUUGAAUUAUGGUAUAAGUUUGUGAUAUGAUAAUAAAUGUGAUAUAUAUAUAGUUUGGACAUGUUAAA